UUCAUUACAUAAUUUCUCCUCAUAGCCAAGGCAAGCAAGUGCAACACCACCAUGCUUGGUCACCCAUUUUGUCUGCUAAAUCCGAUUGUACCAGCUACAUUUAAUGUUGAACCAUCAAACGAAAUCUAUCCUUCAAAUGAAAGAACAACUUUUAUCCGGUGGUUCCAGUACACACAUCAAAGAUGAUUAUUAUAUAGCACAAUGUCUGUGCUCCCUACAGAGCAUUAAACUAUAAAUUUGAACUGAAAUUUAAACGGAGUUUAGAAUGAAAAAAUAGCAUUAUCAAUAAACCUGGAGUAGGAACUGCAAGCAGACCACCCUGGUGGUGCAAAGCGACGUUCGUGUCCGCCAAGAGCCACGACAGCCGCUCGCGUUUCUCUUCCUUGGCCAUGCCGCGCGUGUUAUUCUCUCCGUAGGCCACGCGCGUGUCUUCUGUUGCUAAAUUCUGCAGCUAAUUGUUUUCCACCAGCGAGAAGCAGUGUCCACAUGUGAGCCUGCUUCAUCUUGGAUUACAUCAGCAGCUACAAACCACCCAAUUGCUACACGCGAAAGCAGCAAACAGUGGAAGCAGAGCAUCUACAACAAGCAAAUACACAGCGCCAAAGCACCUACAGUGGAAGCGGUCUCCAUAUAUGUGUAGCUUGGCUGCAGAAUCAAUCAAUUCCAAAUUUGGUUGGAGAACAUGUCCAUGAAAAGUCCCUUCAAUCUUGAUGUUAGUCGAAUUCAUCAGAUAGGCGAACAAUCCAUUAGAAGAAAAUGAUUUGAUAACGGGACAUGUGGACAACAAAAGUUAAAAUUUAAUCACACAACCAAAACAUAAAGAAAUUUUUCUUAGAUCAGAAAACUAAGAAUGCUAGAAGCAAAUUAAUUUAGGAGAUGAUUUCAUGAGUAAUUGAUGCUAUUCUGCAGCAGGGAAUGAGGAAAAAAUAGAAUGAACAUAUCACAUACUUGAACAAACCAAAUUAGCUGCAAGCAAGGUAUCUAUAGAGAACUUAUCUGCCCAGAAUAGAAAUGUGAUACAUCCACGCGUAUUUUAGACUGAACGCCUCGUCCUCAUAGCCAAUAUGUAUAAUAAUAGCAUUCUUCCACAUGCUCUCCCUAAACCAUACAAAAAGCAUUGAAGAUCUUCAAUGCAGUGAGAAGAGGAAGAUCGUAUUUGCCUUUCCAUACAAAAGAUUGUAUUACCCUGCUCCAAUCAUCCUUUUGCUUCCGGGAUCCUUACUUCUGGCUACUGCAUUAGAAGAUGGAAAAUUGCAAAGGACUGUGUUUGUAGGUUCUCAGAUUAAGGGGAGGUUGAGAACGACUAACCACAGUAGCGCAAAAUUGGAGAUUAAAUCCGGGUCGUGCCAUGCAUUGCUAGUGAUCGAGGAGCAUCAGGCCUGUGGAAGUCUUGCAGUUUCGUGUUGAUCUUGAAGAUGGCCGGGCGGAGAUGUCAUGAACACGUCAGGGAAAACCGGAAAACUUUAUGAGUGUAAAACAACCAUCAUGACCCUGGAAC
rnacentral:lncRNA from 1 species